rnacentral:misc_RNA from 1 species
AAUGAGGCAACGUUCGCAGAAGCAGUUAAACAUGGAUAUUUAGUACCACUUCACUGUUCCAUAUUCUCUGACCAGCAUACUCCAGUUACUGCUCACCGAUGCUUGGUUAAAGAAGAUGAUAAAGAGGCUCCAAGCUUCCUUUUCGAGUCUGUAGAGCCAGGCUUUUGGGUUUCAAUUGUUGUAACAAAUGUUCAUUCUUUCUUGUUUUGGACAUAGGUAAGCGUCUCUUACAUCAUAUAAAAUUAUUACUAUUAUCAUUAAUGAUAUACUAAUGGCUUCAGGGGCUCUACGGUGUCAUUGGAGCUCAGCCAGCAAUUUAAAUUGUGGCAAAAGAAAAUACGGCUACAAUAAUGGACCAUUUCCAAAAUGGAAGUGUCACAACAUGAGUCAUAACAAAUGCAUAGUUGCAAGGUGAAAAUACCUUGAGGAUAGCACCAGGAUUG